AAUUAGCCCCGAUUGCAGCGGUUACCCCGGAACGAGCCUUGGGAAAAGCCCUGGCGUGAGGAGUAAUAGCGGAAAGCGGGAUAAAGC
rfam:Epilithonimonas sp. FH1 contig02, whole genome shotgun sequence.